AGCGCAGGUGGUUUCUUAAGUCUGAUGUGAAAGCCCACGGCUCAACCGUGGAAGGUCAUUGGAAACUGGGGAACUUGAAUGCAGAAGAGGAGAGUGGAACUCCAUGUGUAGCGGUGAAAUGCGUAGAUAUAUGGAGGAACACCAGUGGCGAAGGCGACUCUCUGGUCUGUUAUUGACACUGAGGCUCGAAAGCGUGGGGAGCAAACA
rnacentral:rRNA from 1 species